rnacentral:lncRNA from 1 species
ACGUCGUGAGACGCUUAGGAAAGCAGAAAAGAGUCGAGCUGGAACUGUUUCGCGUCUAGUUUGGCAGGCCACUUUCUGUGAAGGUUAACUGCGAUGGCGCACCUACCUGCUGCAGGUAGUAAUUCCUUUGAAGAUACUCAUGCUAUUCAUUCGUACAGAUGUGCAACGUUUAGUCUUUCUUGGACUCGUGUAGUUUAUCCGAAGCUGCUUGUCCUCAUGUAAGCCUUCUCACACACCUGGCUUGCCAGGUGGUUCGAAGGCCGACACUCGAGAUUUGAAGGAGACAUUGGCUUCAUAUCAUCAGGUGCAUAGGUUGCCAUUUAUUCGACAGGGAUGCUUGCACUUUUGCAUACCAGACCUCAGCUUCAGAAAUGACUGCACAUUCCAUUGCUCCUUCCUGCAGGAAGUGCAGAGUUCACAGAAAAGAGUUGAAAGGACUUAUAAGCUAUUGGACGAGCAAGCAGCCCAAACGCUGCAGGAGUGCAUGAACAGAUACACGCUGAACAGUCAGCUGCUUGCCCAGAUCUUCCAAGGUCCUGGGC